UACGGGGGGAGCAAGCGUUGUUCGGAUUUACUGGGCGUAAAGGGCGCGUAGGCGGCCAGCACAAGUCAGUUGUGAAAUCUCCGAGCUUAACUCGGAAAGGUCAACUGAUACUGUGCGGCUAGAGUGCGGAAGGGGCAACUGGAAUUCUUGGUGUAGCGGUGAAAUGCGUAGAUAUCAAGAGGAACACCUGCGGCGAAGGCGGCAUCCUGGACCGGCAAUUGACGCUGAGGCGCGAAAGCCAGGGGAGCAAACGGG
rnacentral:rRNA from 1 species